rnacentral:rRNA from 1 species
GUGUCACAACCUCCCCCCUCCAAUCGGUGUAGUGGGGUAUUCAGUUAUUUCACUACUCCUUUGGUCGUUUACUGUGAGAAAAUUAGAGUGUUCAAAGCGGGCGUUUGUUUGAAUAGAUUAGCAUGGAAUAAUGAUUGAAGGCUUUCGUGUUCGAUUUGAUUGGUUUGUUCAUGGAAGCAAGGUUAAAAGGAACAGUUGGGGGUAUUCAUAUUCACUAGUUAGAGGUGAAAUUCUCGGAUUUUAUUUAAGAA